AGUGCAGAAACCAAUGCCAACCUGAGCUCAUGCACAUAUGAACUGAUGUUAUGACAGGUGUGUACAUAUAUCAACCUCUUGGCUUGUUUUUGAGUGACAUGUGGGAUCAAAUCCACAAAAUAGUGAUAGACAUUGGGGCUACUACGCAUAUUCCCUUUUUUUGUUUGCGAUAGACCGAUGUUCACUACCUUGAGUUAGCACCAAUGGUGAACAUGUGUUUUAUGGGAAAUUCAGCUAUCUCCAAUGUUGCGGGGAUUGAGAAAGUAGUCCUGAAAAUGACUUAGAAAAGAGUUGACUCUGAACAAUGUUUUGUUCAUUCGCCAAAAUCAAAAAGAAUCUGGUUCUGGUUCUCUGUUGAGCAGACAUGUUUUCCGUAUGGUCUUUAAGGCAUAUGGGUUACUCCUAUCAAAGGUUUUGGAAUGUAUUUAGGGAAAGGUUAUUGACCAAUGGUCUAUUCAGAUAAAUGUAAUGACUGUAAUCCCUACUAUCAAUAAAAAGAUUUUUUUUUAUUUUUUAUGUGCUUGAAUCUUCCAUUUUGUGGUAUGGUAGACUAGGACAUGUUAAUGAUGAUUCUAUGUAUAGACUAAUUAACUUGGAUUACAUUUCUGCAUUCAAAAUUGAUAAAAAUUCUAAGUGUGAGACUUGUGUUAAAGCAAAAUUAACAAACUCUUUAUUUCACUCGGUUGGAAGAAGUACUGAACUAUUGGGUUUAAUCCACACCGAUGUCUGUGAUUUGAAGUAUGUCUAAACACCCAAUGCAAAUAAGUAUUUAUUACUUUUAUAGAUGAUUAUACUAAAUACUGUUAUGAGUACUUGAUAAAAAGCAAAUGAUGAAUUUUGGACAAAUUCAUUCUUUAUAAGAUGAAGUAGAAAAUCAACUUAGAGGAAGAUUAAGUGUAAUAUCUCGACCUAAUUAUCUUUUACUUUAUUACAGAAAUAGGAAUUGUUAGACUUAAAUUUAAGUCAUUUAAUAUAUUUUGGGGUUAAAAUUGAAAGAUUAAUAAAUUUUGGGAUAAAAUUAAAUAAGACAUUUAAAUGAUAUAUUAUUAAAAAUUAGAAGGGCUUGUAGUGUAGUGUAAUUUUUACAUUGAUUGCGCCAACCUCAUGGGUUUGACUCACUUUUUUUUGAAACUGCUUAACUUUUGUUUUGUCUUAUUUGAAAAACAUUUCCUAUAAAUGAGAGAAAGAGAGCUAUAUAGAUAGAGAAGAAAGGAAAGACUAGAAGGAAAUAGAAAGAAAGAAAUAAGAGAUUGGAGAAAUUAUAUAGUGUGUUCGCCUUGAUCAUGAAAAUAUAGAGAUGUAGAUCAAUAGUGAGAUGAUACGGUCGAGGUGGUAAAAUUUUAGUAUGAUGAUCAUGGGAGGCCAGCUCUUAAUUUCUAAGGAUGUAGAUUUUAAUUGAGUAAAAAGGUAAGAUUAGGUAUUACAAUAUACUUCUAAAACUCCAGAGUUAUUUCUUUAUAUUAUCUGAUUUUUUGUACGUCAGUAGAACAAGUGUACUAUUUGUUGAAAUCAUGACAUUAUUCAAAUCAUGAUGUGUAUUGGCUGAAAUGCCAUAGUAUUGAAUGGUACGGACUGGGGUUGUGAGCUGCAAAUUAACCUGGUUUACGGUUAAUAGCUGAAAGGGUGAGGUGGGCAAAAAAAAAAGCGCAAGGAUCGGUUACUAGUGCCGUACCAAGGCCAGGAUGAGUCUUCAUGAAUUAUUGAUUCGUUGAGCAUAUUUCAAUUGUAUUGUAUACUUCCCUGCUUACUUAUUUUUCAAGCGAACGUUAGAAUUCGAGUAGUCGGAGAUGGGUCGAGUGAAAGACUUGAAGUUUAAUGAAUCAUUUAUAUUAAUUUUUAUUGAAAGAUAUAACUAUGAACCCUUGGAGACUCUGAUUUCUUAUCAAUUAGAGACGAUUACGGAUAUACGAUUGCUAUUCAUUAACUCUUGGGCCGGGUCGUUACAUUACGGUUAGGCGACGUGAUCAGGGUGGUGACGUAUGAAUCACAUUUGGUGAUCUGUGGAGAACAUUGAAUUCUAUACCAAAACACUGCCCUUAUCUUCUCAACAAAAUAUAACUAUUGAACAAAAAAAUGUACCCUAAGGAACUAUGAUGAUGCUAUAUUGGUACGUUCUGAAUUGACUCAAAACAUGUAGGGUGUGAUGUGAAGCGGGAGUCUUACUGCCAAUUAUAAUUGGAAUAUAGAUGCCUCACAAGAACUUGGACAAAACUCUAUAUGAGUUUAAGGCUAGGAGUCCUACCUCCAAAAUUCUUACGGACGUUAGAGAUGUCUUGCGAAGGUGGUACGUACCUCUCAUAAGAAAGAGAAGAUAGGUCUGAAAAUUGUGAUUGUGUGAUUCAUCGGUUAUGCCACAAAAAGUAGGCAUACCUACAUGGAGUUAGGAAUGCACGUUUUUGAAAACGAUUUCAUUAGAUCAUUGGUGAGUCUGUGGUUUAGUGAAACAUACGUACAUCCUGCCUAAAUGAUGCAGUCCAAAGACUAAGAAGAGGAAUUUGAACGGGGGAUUGCGGACGUAGCAACAUAGCAAGAGAGCUAGACCGUUAACAUCAUUUGUCCAAACUUCUUUAACUGUAUGUUAGAAAAUGGAACAUGGACAUCAUACAAGGUAGUGCUAUUGCUAUAAUUAAGGUUCAUUGUGGAAAUCGACUAUCAAAAGUGAGGUUGACUCCCUCUUGCACAUCAUAGUGGGGAACUGGUGGUUUGCCACCAGGCAAUAAGUCGUUGGGUUACAAAUGGAUUUUCAAAAGGAAGAUAAAACGUCACAUGAUCAAUUGAUAAUACAAAACUAGCCUUGUUAUCAUAGGAUAUAGACAAAAGAAAGACCUAAAUUACUUUGAUACUUAUUCACCGCGCCUGGAAAAGAAGGAAAAAUAUGUAGGCUUGUAAGAUCAUUGUAUGGUCUCAAGUAAGCACCGAAACAAUGUCUUGAGAAAUUUGACAAUGUUGUAUUGUCUAAUAGCUUCAAAUCAACUAAUAUAAUAAAUGCGUAUAUGUCAAUGACACAGACGAAGGCAUAUAUUUGUGUCUUUAUAUUGAUAACAUGAUCAUUGUUUAGUAGUAACGAUAAAGUUGUCCAAUCUACCAAAGACAUAUUGAAUUCAAAAUUUGACAUAAAGGAUAUUGGCCUAGCAGAUAUGAUUCUGGAUGUAAAGAUCACCAUAGUAUCUGAUGGACUUGCACUUUCUUAGACACACUAUAUUGAUAAAAUUCUAGCGAAAUUCAACAAGUCUGAUGAGAAUGUGACAAGGACUCUUAUAGAUGUAAAUCUUCACUUAUCCAAGAAUAGGGGGAAGGCGAAUCCCAAUUGGAGUAUUCUCGUAUAAUUGAGAGUUUAAUAUACUUGAUGAGUUGUAUAAGGCCCAAUAUAGCUUACUCAGUGAGUAGAUUGAGCAAAUACACGAGUAAUCCAAGAAGUGAUCACAUGAAGGUGAUAGCAAGGUUACUACGCUAUUUAAGAUAUACUCGUGAUCUUGGACUACAUUAUACCAGAUAUCUAGCAGUACUAGAAGGGUAUUGCGAUGCAAACUGAAUAUCGAAUAUGACAAACUCAAAAUUCACGAGUGGAUAUGUCUUCAUGCUUAGUGGUGCAACGUUAUCUUGAAAAAUCUACCAAACAGACGUGCAUUGCAUGAUCUACGAUGGAUCAGAAUUUAUUACUUUAGACAAAGCAACUAAAGAGGCCGAUGUCUAUGUCAAUUUCUAGAUGAUAUUCCAAGAUGUCGAAACUUGUAUCUAUGAUUAUCAUAACAUGCGAUAGUCAAUCUACGAUUGGUAGGGUACAUAGUAAUAUUUAUAAUAGUAAGUCUAGAUAUAUUCGUUGUAGACAUAAUAUCAUUAGACAGCUGCUCUCAAGUGAGUUUGUCACUAUUGAUGAUGUAAGGUCAAAGACAAAUGCGGAUCUGCUACCAACGGUUUUACUAGAGCGUUAGUUGAUAUAGUAUCGCAAGGAAUGGUUUAAUUUUAAAGCCUAUGAAAGAGAAAUAUAUCAUGAAGAAAAAUUCAACUUAGUUGACUAGAGAUUCCAAAAUCUAUGUUCAAUGGGACUACCUACUUGCGUAAUCUAAGAUGAUCAUUAUGGAGUUGAAAAACUCCUACCCAUUCCUAUGAUGGUAAUAGUGAUUGUGAAAAAUGUUAAGCAUAGUUUUUAAUGACUCUUUGCGCUGGUGAGCCAGGCUAAAGAUAAUGAAAUAUUCAUAAAAGAAGUCACCUAUGUAAGUAGGAAGUGGGGCUACUUUCUUUAAAAAUUUGAGAAAACACAUUUUUUAAGAAAUACUUGCAAAAUUAAGAAACGUGUUCUAAGGCCAAAAUGGACACAACAGUUAAGACUGAUUGCGUCAGGAGAAAUUUGCUGAGUGACGUCGAUUAUCUUAAUUUACCGAGCGGGCGCAUAGUUCAAGGCGAGCUCUGCCAAUAACUUCGAUGCUUUCACAAGGAAGUUUAAGGUCAAAAUAUGCCUAAUGCCAUGCAGGAAUAUCCGUUGUCUCUCUCUCUCUCUUUCUCUCAAGUCGCAUAAGAUUUUCAUUGGGGCAUUGUUUGGAAUUUGGUGUGAAUGAAAGUCCAAAGUGUGCUGGAUUUAUCAGCUCAAUAUAGCGCUGUUAACAGCCCAGAUGGCAACAUAAGUAGCUCUAAGUGGGUAUUAUUAUAGUUAUGCAACAUUUUACCAUCCAUAAGCACCUUAUCAUGGCUUGUGUUUAUGGUUGAGAGUUUUGGUUUUGAAGGGUCAUAGUUUCCUUAUAAAAUUUUUUUUUUUUUUUUCUGGUUGUUUUAGUUGAAGACCGAACAAAAACACACAUAAAAGUAUAAAAAUAUUUGUCCUGAUUUUAGAGAGAAGACUGGCACCUGAAAUUUGCCAAGUUGCUAUGUUGGGUGGUUUUGUCAAGCCGUGUUCAAUCGUUUAAUCUGGGGGAAGACAUCGAAACACCCUAUAUACCCUCGAUAGGCGGCGAAUCUUUUCUUAAGGAGACUUAGCUGCAGAACUCAGCCAAUUUUCUGUUUGUAUUUCUUUUCUUUAGUUAUGUAUUAAGUUUAUUGAUGAUUAUAAAAUUAUUUUUUUAAAUUCUGUGUUUGCUGAAUUAAUAGUUUUAUAAUAAUUCUAUGUCGCACUCCUUAAUUAGGUUGGCAACACUAAAUGUAGAGAAACUGAAGUAUUUAUCUAAUUAAAAACUCAUGACUUCCCAUCCAUGAGAAAAUAUCUGGAAUACCCAUUAUAGUGUGAAUGUGCUAUGUCCAAAGAAUGGAAUACCCAAACCAAGCUAUUUGUAUCUGUUGGGUAGCAUUCCAAUAAUUAAGGGGCUCACGACGACUUUGAGUUUCUUCUCGCUUGCUUGAUAAAGGAUGUAUCAAACCUUGACGAUAGCAGGUUUUAUUCAACAAAUACAAUUUUGACGUUGCUUUGCUUGUCUUGUUGCCAAUGGUUUGAUACCAAUCCUAGUGCAUUGUCCAACUGGCUCAUAAUCUACCUCAAGUAGCUUAAUCAUAUCUUGUUCACCUGCUCGUUAUUCCUGUACCACCCCUUAUCUCAAAGUUUUACAAAAGAAAAUCAAAAAUUUUAAUAUUAUUCCCCAAAUAUUGGUUGCUUUAGUGACAUGCCAUCAUCAACGGAUCAAAAACGUAUCAACAUGAGUAAAAUAAGUUUGUCAGAGGAUAAAAUAGCGACGUAUCCGCUCUGGUCAAGCGGGUAACACCGCCGUAGAGCUGCAUUUUAUAGCAAUCUCAUGAGGUCUUUGCGUCGAAGCCUGUCGAGGCAAACAUCGCCGGUUACCCGAUAGCACGUCAGGGGCAAAAGUGCUUGCGCGGCGAAGUUUUCUUUUGACACUCUUACCUUGGAUUGAGAAGAUGGCGACAUGACAUGCUAUAUCCCUGGUUGGGUCAGUCGCCUACUACUACACAGUAUCGUCGUGUCUCAGCACAAGCCAGUGGUCUGCCCAUUGACAUGACAGUUAGUGUCGUCGGCCCGCCAAACUAUGCUAUAACGCAUGCCCUUUCAUUGUCAAGAUAUGCAUUCAUCUCUCUCAUGCUUAGAACUCUCUCUCUUAACACUUCCGAUCACUUGAUUUGUUGGAGAGCCAUUUUUGGAACACUACAACCGUCGUUCUCACUAUUUUGUAUUGCAGCUAGGUCCAACAGCCUACAACCACCGUCAACUGCUGUCUAGCCACUGUCAGUGUCUAUCUUCGCUUUUUUUUCUAUAUUUCCUCAUCACACAACCGUGGCGUCUAUGAAACUUUUACGAUAGACAGCUGCAAAAUACACUUCUUAUUGCAUCCUAAAGCACCAACAACGGUAGAGGCCGCGUUCACCACAACUACAACUCUCCUCUGCUCAGUGUGUUAACCUCAAGCACUUGGUGGAUGACGGACUACGGUCAUUGACAUAGCAAUAGAGACUACCGUUGUUGUCAUCGCAUUGACACACCAACAGUGUCCGGCAUUGAUAUUUGACAGUAAAUGGCUGCUAUGCCAACGUCGUGGACGUCCGGAUUAAAGAGAAAUGGUUGUCGUUCAUUGGUAACUCAAUCGUCGUGCGAGAAUCACCAACUCAACAUGCAUUCGAAUCACACAAUGAGUCAGCUGCAACAUGAAAUCUCACACCUUGACAAAAACUAGCCGCAAAAAUAGCACAAUAAUGUUGCACGUCAUGGCCCCCCUCUCCUCUUUUUUUCUCUCUCUCACACACUCUCACUCUUUAUGCGUGUGUGGCGGCGAUUGGUUGGUAUGGGGACGGAGUGGUGUUUUUGUAGGAAUAGUUGUUGGUGGUUGUUUGUUGUUGAUCUCCUCUCCCUCUCCUCUCUUCUCUGUGUUCACUGGUGUGUGGGUGGCAACAGUAACUAUUUGGAUGGGUUGGAAGCUGACAGUGGUUGUAUCUUGUGUAAUUGUGUGUUGGGAAUGGGUUUAGGGUUGUGGUUUGUGUGGGAAAAGAGAAAUGGUUUUUGGGGGUUGAUGAUUGCUUAGGAAAGAAAUGGUUUGGGUAUGGUCUUAGGUUAGGUUUCCAGGUGGUGCCUGUAUUCCACGGUGAUAAUUUCUGUCACAGUUGAAGCGCCAUUGCCAUUGGGCUGGUGCAAACGAUAUAUCCACUGGGACAAUCUACAAAAAUUAUUGUUCUUACAUGUGUGAAUUGGUCAAUGCUUUGAUUGGCCAAUAUAUUAACCCUUUCUUCUACAUGCAUCCACUUACCCCAACCACACAAAAGGGGUGACACUUCGACCUAUUCACUAAGCGGCCCACCCCAUUCCUCGUUUCUCCUAAACAUCCAUCUAUGCGAGAGGAGGGGUUAGGGUUUAGGGUUAGGGUUAGGGGUUUAGGUAUCUUGAUGUCUUCAUCUCAGAAGAUAACACGGUAAGCUCGGACAGCGAAGCUUCCGAUGUGGAGGAGGCGUGGCGCGCAUCGCAGACGAUCAAGCCCUGAUCGCGUACACUUCCCCGACAGCGUCAUUCCUCUCCAAUGUCACCAGCAAGAUCCUCGCCCAAGGUCCAUCGAGUACUGCAAGAAGCACUUGACAUCCCCAAGACCGAAAUCGAUCCGCCGAGACGAGCUCAAAGCCUGGGACGGCGAAGCUUCGCGAGUGAAGGAGGCAGUGGCUCUGCAGUCGCAGACGAUCAAGGCAGCGUCAUUCCUCGUCCCCCAAUGGUCAACCAGCAAGAUCCUCGCCAGGUCAAUCGUGUAACUGCACAGAAGCACGACGAGCUCAAAGCCGGGGACGCCGAGUUCGUCACGUCGACAUUCCCGUGCUCUUGGACCUCAUUGAGGUAUCAUCACUCCUAUCAUCCCCCACACUCUAUUUUUGUAUUUUUUUUUGAAGUAAUUCGGGAUUUCACGAUUGGAUCAUAUUCUUAGGGUUUUGCAUUUAAUCUCUGAUUGAUUUUGAUUAUAAGUUAGUGUGUUCUAUUUUUUAGUGAAUUUAUAAUAGGCACGUUAGGCGUGAUCAUAACUUGAAAGAUUCACUCUACGUCCCUUAGUAGAAUUGAGCAGACACUGCGAUAGUGAGGCUUGUGAUGCUCUUGCCUUCCUGUGUGAUGUAUAUGUAUGGCAUUAGAGGAGGGCACUAUCAUUUGGGUUUAGUGGAGAGGUGAGUGAACUGAGAAUUUUUAAUGAAGAAGUAAUGAAAUAAUCUGAUGACGUUAGGUUGCCAUCAUUGUUUUACCAGAUAUAAAAGCUUGAACGUUUAAUGUUGUUGUCCUCUUCAUGCACAAGAUAUUUCCCUCUCUCUCUUUUGUUCUUUGGGUGAAAUGUACUCGUAGGUUUUAUAUUUGAAUUGAUCAUUGCUGCAUUUAUUCCAUGUUAAUUUAGUUUGAGUUUGGCAAUUGGUGUGGUUCUGUGUUAUAGCUAUGGCCAUUGUGGUUUAUUGUGAGGGAAACUGACGAUUUGAAUGUUAAAGGAUAACCCUCCCAAGCCCAAAGAAACUUGUGUGCAUUUCUAACCAUGGAUAAUGUCUUUCUUUUCCCUUUUUUUUUUUUAUGUGCUAGGGUCUCUAAUUUGGAUGCAUGUUUAGGGUUUUGAUGUAUAUCCGUUUAAUGACGUAUCUUGUCAUAAUCAAAUUUUGAAUUUUGUUGAGCAUAUCACAUGCUCCCUAUCCAAAGUGGAAUGAAAGUUCCUCCACCAACUCCAGUUUUGAUCCCUAAAGCCGUAGAACUUGUUGAGUAUCAUUCGAAAAAUAGAUAUCAACUAUAUUAUGUUGGACUAUAAACAUGUAUACUUUUAAUUCACAGCUAUUUUCUUCCUGCAAUCAGUUUAGUGUCCAUUGAGAAGAUAUUCAUGCUACCUUUAGAAUGAGACUAUGUUCCGAUAUAGUUUUGAUAAAUGCUUAAAAAGCUGAAUUUAUCUUUGGAGGGAAGUGAAAAUGAUUGAGUUUGAAGAGAAUGAAUUUUUUUUUUAAAAAAACCAAAAGAUAGUAAUAGAGAUUGUGGCUGGCGUUGGUAUGAUAUUGAAUAGUGUCUAUUCUCGAAUUUACUCUUUGGUAAAUAGAUUAGUAUAUUGACAGUCUCCAAAGUGAGAAUUGGGAAGGAGUGCACUUGCCAGAUCAACACGGUUGGAAUUAGAUUUGAUACUCUGUUAUUGCUUGAGGUAAAUCAUUAUACCGCUUAGACUUCCUGACUCAGUACUAUUGACUCUUUAUAUGUGGGCAUGAUUGAAAUGUCUGAAAUCGGUUAUUACUUUUCUCAGGUCUUUGGAUUGAUUUUGUAUCUGUCAGUUCUGCAUUUUACCUAUUGCCAAUGUCCUCCUAUUAGAAGGGAAUUGGAUGUUAUUGGGACCCAAUCAUCCAUCCCUGAGGGGAUGUUUUUUCUAAGUUAAGAAUCUGCAUGCCUUGAUGUCGUGAUUUAACUUUUUUUCAAAUGCUUGCUGUUGUUGGAUCAGUUCCUAUGACCUAACUGUUGCUGUCAUUGAUUUGUCAGUUGAACUGGCACCCGUGAAAAUAUCAUCAUCUAAUCCCUUCUAAGGCCAAGAUUAGUUCUAAAUCCAUUUUUUGUGAUGCGGUGCAUAAGAUCUAUAUGAUGUGUUUUAUCAUGAUUCUGUAUACAUAUGAUCCUGGCGCUACAAUCUGAAAGGCCAUUUUACUUAACUGAGAUUAAUUUAAUUGUUGCUGUUGAAAAAAACUAGAGGCGUUGUUCUGUUCUUUCUCCUCCCUCCCACCCUCUGUGUUCGGUGUGUGGUGCAAAAUCUUCUUGGGUGGCGCGUGCACUUAUUCACACACCCUCCUCUUGUGGGAAAUAAGUUCUUUUUAUCGCCGCAUCCAACCUACAAUCCAUUGCCAUUAAGUGGAGUGACUCAUAGCGUCUAUACUAUAUGGACCAAGUUUGAGUGACUUAAUGAAGAUAGGGUGGACAGGAUUUAAGUGUUGUCCUGAAUGGUGAGUUUCUCUGGUAUCAAGCUCUAUUCAUGGGAGUUGCACUCCUUUUUUCGUUAGUGCCCUUCCCUCGCAAACAAAAAAAAAAAUUGGUAGCUGUCACAAAUUGCUCCUCCAUCGAUCCAUCGUCAAUUUGUUUGUCCAUUUAGGGAAUCCAACUUGUUAAGUAGUCAAUAUGCCACGUCUACACUUUAAAAGUUUCAACUAACCAAAAUCAAUUUGAAAUUACCGAACACGAAAUGGAUGUGUUGUCACCAAUUCCCAAAGUGAGGACAAUUUUAUGCAAUCUUUUGGUAGUUGAUUUCAAGACAAACAAUUUGGGACAUCCCAAAAGGGGAAAGUGGAUAACAAUUUGGGACAGAGUGGAGUUAUAAGUUGAACGUUUGCUACGUGUCAAAUAUUUUUUCUCGCAGUCUGACAGCCAUGGUAUUAUUUUUAUUUUGGCUUGGCCGUCGCGAUCACGUUCCAUUAGCUAACCUUCAGUUGUUUUGAUCUCAAUGCUUGCAUUCACUUCAGUUAUUAUCUCUAGCCCAUAGAUGUGAUUUACUUGUCCGCGUAUCUGUUUUUACAUACCCCUUUGGUAAUGUGGUCUUCUGUUUUUAUGUUUGGUUUUGUAUUUCUAAACACUUAUACUUGACUAAUAAGUUACUGAAUUAUCUCAUGGUUAUCUGCAACUUGCACGCAAAUUUUCUGUCGCAUUGAAUCACUGAUUUGCGAUUGCUUAGUGUAUUCCACACUUAAAGGGUUGUGCAUAUGCCUUGAGUUGAUGUUCCUUAAUCCAGCUUCUCCUGUUUGAUUCUUAUAGCUAUUGAAUGGGAACUUUUGUCCUCUAUGGGCCACUCCAGCCACUUGAGCUGGCACUCUUACAAUAAAGAACUAGAUUUCGACUCUCUUCAACUAUCUAUCAUAUAUGUACUUACUAAAUUAAUUAAAUGUGCUAGCUUUUGUCAUUUACUGUAAUUCUUGAUAAUGUUUUGAACCACCUUGCAUGUAUGGCCCAUGCUUUUAUCUGUUUUGUGUCUUAUUUCUAAUUUACUAUGUAUCCUCAGCGCAAACUACCUGAAUAUCAGAGCCUGCUGGAUUUGACAUGCAGCUGUUGCAGACAUGAAUAAAAGGGAUGACUCCUGAUGAAAUCGCCAAGACCUUCAACUCAAGAAUCACUUCACCCCUGAGGAAAGGAAGAGCUUCGUCUGAGAAUCAGUGGGCAUUUGAUUAAGACGUCGUAUUUAUGGUUAAGCCAAACUGUCAAAGAAACAAAACCUAUAAAAUAUAUGCAUAUGGUAUCGUGCUACUUAUAGAUUUUUAAUUGUCCCUGUUUAAGUACUCUAUGCUUUGUCGUUCUGCGACUUUUGCAGUGUCAACAUGGUUCUACUUUAAAUGUCUCUGAAUUCGUGGUUUUGUUGUGGUGAUUGGGAAUUAUGAAACAGCUUGCAAUCCCUCCAUAUUUGGAAAAUAGCAGGAUACUAUUGGUUUAUUAUGGCAAUUCACACGUGUUUUGUUAAGAAUUCGUUGGUUUGUGAUUUUAUCCAGAUGUUAGAUUAGUUGUUGGGGUUGUUUUUUUAACUGUACUUAUGGGACUUGUUUAGUUCGCUCGUGAGUGGCCUAUACGGGAGGCCCCAUUUCCCAGCAUGAAGUAUCACGAGUUGCUGCUUCAGGAGAUCUCAAAGGGUGGUGUUUUCGAUGUGGUUUUCAUAAUACUCAUAAUUCAGGAUACACUUGCUUAACAUGCUGGAAAAUCUGGAGGGCCGUUCUCUGUCACACUCCUUAAUAAAAAACAUUAAAUUGUUGGCAACCUGAAUGUAGAUAAUGAAGUUUCAUACUAUUUUAUCCCGGAACAACACAUGACUAGGUAAAAAACUCACGACUUACCAUCUAAGAACAACUCCGGAAGUGCACGAUAAUAGCGGGAAAUGUUGGGCUGUCCCAGAGAUGAAAUGCCGCAUCAAGUCCUGUAGCUGUCUGUAAAGCUUACAAUAAUUAGGGGCUCACUAUCAACUGGUUUCUUUCUCGCUUACUUUGAUAAUGAUGUAUUAGGCUGAUGAAGCACGUUAUGCUAAACGAAUAAAACAAGUUAUGAGGAGUUUGUUUUCGCCUGUCUUGCGCAAUGUUUGAUACCAAUCCCAGUGCAUUGGUAGUGUUGCCUCACUGAAUCUAACUCUCGAGUUGCUUAAUCAUGGAAUAUUGGUUCUCCUGCUCUUCUCUCUUACCACCCACUUAUCUCGAGUUCGACAAAAGAAAACCAAAUACUAUUCCCCAAUUCGUUGCCGUAGGACAAGUCAUCAUCACCAUCAAAAACGUAUCAACGCAUGUUAAAAUUAAGUUGUAAUGAUAAAAUACGAAAAAUCACUCUGACCAAGCUAAGGAUACGCACAUUGUCGAGUUUGUCCCUUUUAAUAACAAGCUCAGUGGGGUCUCUGCGCCAACUUGGGUAGUGGCGCAACUUUCGACAGGAAUCCUGACGGCACUCGGGGCAUAGGAUGGCUUGCACGCGAAAUUUUCUUUGACAAGCAAGCCGGACCACACCCCACGCCUAAUCGAGAAUCUUGGCGACAUGACUGCUAGCCUAUCAGGUUUGGUCAGCCGCCGUACUUACUACACAUAGUCAGCAUGUCUCGCAUGCGCCCGAGUUGCAGUCUGUUCCAGUUAACGACAUUGGCGCGUCCAUGCAGCUCGAGCUGUCUAUAAAGGCAUGUCCUUUCAUAUCAAUUAUGCAUUUCUGUCUAUCUCAAUCUAGAAACUCUCUCUCUCCACUCUCAACACAUUCGGUCACUUACUUGAUUGUCUAAGCUAGUUCCCGGAACAACGGGCGCGUCCGUUCUCAGUGUUUCUGUUGAAAAAUAUUCCGAAACAUGCUUUAUAUUCGAACAGUUUGUACAAGUGUAUUAAGGAAAUCAAGAACAACUGAGGUACAAGUGAAGACUUACGGUCAUGUUGGCUACCAAUUGUGCGUUAGGGAAGUACUCACUCCUCCAUUCCCGCUGCCGAGACUCCUUAUUGCCUGAGACCCAACCCCCAAAAUUCGUCGAGGUACAGUCUUUGUAUGGGAUCUUAAUUGACAUACUUAUCCAAUGCUUUGUUUGUUCGACGUCAAGGUACUGAUUGGAAUGUGUAUAAGUUGGUACCCGGACUCCUUCUUUGGCGUAACUACAUAGUAAAUAUGUAGUAAUCCGUAGUGGCUGAACUACAACUCUUCCCUCUGCAUUAAUGUGGUCAACCGCAAGGGCACGUACAGAUGAAGUUAACUGACACUUGCAUAAAGAUAAGUCGGCAGAACGCCAUAACUUUCUUUAGAAUUAGACUAAUUAAAAAUCGGAGUCCAGCCUGGUGGAUUAGCCACGUGGGGACUGGGAUGCGAUCCUUGUCUCCUUGCACUAGGGCAACCUUCUCGUUGGGGCUUAGUCUUUCUAUCAAAAUAUCACCUGGGAUGUGUGAUCAUUGCUAAUACAUUAAGAAUGAAAUUGAGAAAAAUUAUUAUGUGAGGAAGGAAUCUUUUAAGACCUAUUGGACCUGUUUUUACGCUUGAAUAAAUCUUUGACACACGUUGCAUCCUAUGAUUGACUAGUAAUUUGCACAUUUCCCACACGGCACUACGUAAAAAAAAUUUCAACCUCUUAGGCGUACUCAUUAAAGUUUUUAUAAUCUCAAAAAACAAAUAAGAUAUCAAAAGCUAGAUAAAAGAUAUAUUGCUACAAAAUAUACAACAAAUAGAAAUGACAUGAUUUUGAAAAAAAUUGUUAGUUUUGGGAGAAAUGAGGGAGAAAGAAAGAUGUGGUUUUUUAAAUUUUUUUUGUGUGAAUCCCACUAAAAAAUUAACAUAGGUAAAAAAAGACUAGAUUUAGAGAUUUUUUGCCAUUGGAUAAGAAUUUAUGUGGGUCCCACAACCUUUGAGAAGAGGACGUGAUAUUUUUUUUUUUGAAAAAUAAAUAAUCUGAUGUGGAAAUCUCAGCUGUUGGAUUAACUCAAAUUGAAUUUUCAAUUCAACCGUAAUAAUGGAAGAUAGUUUUAAGCACUUGUUUCGAACAAUCGUCCGCCUAGGCCCAGCCUAGGCUCUUAAGGUCCCCCCCAGCCGCCCAGGCUGCCUAGGCCCCCAUCCCAGGCACUGGGCCCCCCUCCUCCUACCUUCUUUAACGCCUAGCGCUUUUUAUAGACCUAGGUUUCUGAUGUCUAUGUAUUUUAGAACCUAAUUGCCAUUUCUAUCUUUUUCUUUGUAUUAUUUCAACAUGUAACCUUUGAACUUUACUUUUUGAUAUCAUUUUUGGAUAGAUUUGAAUUUGGUCAUUUCUUAUUAUUUUUCGUAAAUUUUAAUGAUUUAAUAAAUAAUAAAUAAAACUGCCUAAUGCCCCUCCUAGCCGCCUAGGCGCUAGGCCCCCUCCGGCCGUCCGAUUACCGCCUAGCAUUGUUAGAAUCUUGGUUUUAAAGAUUCAAAAUAAAAUUAUGUUUUUUAAUAUAGAUUGGUCCAAAAGAACAUCCAAAUUGUCACUUACCCUAUUCUUUCUGCGAUAUUUGUUCUUUCUUUUUUUUCAUUUCUAAGGGUUUUAACUACAUUUUUGCUACCUUAAAAUAUAGACCUUCUGAUAAAUCACACUUGAACGAUUUUCACUCAAUAAAAUCCCUAAAUAGGUUAUUUUGGUAUUUAUAAACUGUUAUAUUAGACGUAUUAUAAUAAAAAUAGGAUAAACAAUCAUACGAAUGAAACGUGUCAAAACAUUGUUUUAAUCAAAGAAACCAGUGCAAAUUGUGAAAAGAUAAAGGAUAUGGUUGAAACAAACUAAACUGCAGAAGCUGAAGCCUGUCCAGUAAGUCACAACCAGUCCAGAAAAUGCAACAGGAGCCACCACAAAGCGAACCAGUCCAGGACUGAACCGUUCUAGGAAGCCGACAUCGGGAAAAUGAUCAAAGCAUGAAAGAAGUCCUACGGUCAAGAACUGACACCAUUCAAGAUCAAAGGCGGUGAAAGAACUGAACCGGUCGGAGAAGUGAACCGGUCGGACUAUAAAUGCGUUCAAAUGUAACCAACAAAGCUUUUUGAAGACUUUUUCAAGUUCGGUUUUCACACUCCUCAAAACUAAAAACUCUAUAAUAAGAAAUCCAUUCCAGCAAUCACUCUCUUUCUUUUUGGGAAUGUUAAAAAGAAAAACUCUAGGAUUUAAGAUUGGA
rnacentral:lncRNA from 1 species